rnacentral:rRNA from 1 species
UAGCAUCAGACCGUACCCUAAACCGACACAGGUGGAUUGGUAGAGUAUACCUAGGCGCUCGAGAGAACUGUCUUGAAGGAACUAGGCAAAUUGCUCGCGUAACUUCGGGAUAAGCGAGCCUCUCUGUUGGGCAACCAUCGGAGAGGGGCACAAACUAGGGGGUAGCGACUGUUUAUUAAAAACACAGGGCUCUGCGAAGUGGCAACACGACGUAUAGGGUCUGACGCCUGCCCGGUGCCGGAAGGUUAAGAGGAGAAGUGCAAGCUUCGAAUCGAAGCCCCGGUAAACGGCGGCCGUAACGAUAACGGUCCUAAGGUAUCGAAAUUCCUUGUCGGGUAAGUUCCGACCUGCACGAGGGCGUAACGACUUCCCCGGUGUCUCCAAGACAGACUCAGCGAAAUUGAAAUCUCCGUGAAGAUGCGGAGUACCCGCGGCCAGACGGAAAGACCCCGUGCACCUUUACUAUAGUUUUGCACUGGUACUAGGCAUUGGAUGUGUAGGAUAGGUCGGAGGCUUUGAAGCAUUGGCGCUAGCCAGUGUGGAGCCAACGUUGAAAUACGACCCUUUUGGUGACUGGUAUCUAACCGCGGCCCAUUAUCUGGGCCCGGGACAUUGCAUGAUGGGUAGUUUGACUGGGGCGGUCGCCUCCGAAAGAGUAACGGAGGCGCGCGAUGGUGGGCUCAAGCCGGUCGGAAAUCGGCUGUUGAGUGCACAGCAUAAGCCCGCCUGACUGCGAGACCGACGGGUCAAGCAGAGACGAAAGUCGGUUCUAGUGAUCCGGUGGUUCUAAGUGGAAGGGCCAUCGCUCAACGGAUAAAAGGUACGCCGGGGAUAACAGGCUGAUACCCCCCAAGAGUCCACAUCGACGGGGGUGUUUGGCACCUCGAUGUCGACUCAUCACAUCCUGGGGCUGGAGCAGGUCCCAAGGGUUUGGCUGUUCGCCAAUUAAAGUGGUACGUGAGUUGGGUUUAGAACGUCGUGAGACAGUUCGGUCCCUAUCUACCGUGGGUGUUGGAAGCUUGAGAGGAUUUGCCCCUAGUACGAGAGGACCGGGGUGAACGUACCUCUGGUGUACCAGUUGUUCCGCCAGGAGCAUCGCUGGGUAGCUAUGUACGGACGGGAUAACCGCUGAAUGCAUCUAAGCGGGAAACCCACCUCAAAACCAGGCUUCCCUGAGAACCGUGAUAGACCAUCACGUUGAUAGGCCGGGUGUGGAAGCGCCGCGAGGCGUGCAGCUAACCGGUACUAAUUGUGC